rnacentral:rRNA from 1 species
GCUAAGUAUGGACAGGAUAACCGCUGAAAGCAUCUAAGCGGGAAACCAACCUUAAAAUUAGGUCUCAUCAAGGGUCGUGAAAGACUAUCACGUCAAUAGGCCAGAUGUAUACAUGUGGUAACACAUUCAGCUAACUGGUCCUAAUCACCCGUAAACUCUCACUCU